AACGAACGCUGGCGGCAGGCUUAACACAUGCAAGUCGAACGCUCGUAGCAAUACGGGAGUGGCAGACGGGUGAGUAACGCGUGGGAACAUACCCUUUGGUUCGGAAUAACUGAGAGAAAUUUCAGCUAAUACCGGAUGUGCCCUAUGGGGGAAAGAUUUAUCGCCAAAGGAUUGGCCCGCGUCUGAUUAGCUAGUUGGUGAGGUAACGGCUCACCAAGGCGACGAUCAGUAGCUGGUCUGAGAGGAUGAUCAGCCACACUGGAACUGAGACACGGCCCAGACUCCUACGGGAGGCAGCAGUGGGGAAUAUUGGACAAUGGGGGCAACCCUGAUCCAGCCAUGCCGCGUGAGUGAUGAAGGCCUUAGGGUUGUAAAGCUCUUUCGUCAGGGAAGAUAAUGACGGUACCUGAAGAAGAAGCCCCGGCUAACUUCGUGCCAGCCGCCGCGGUAACAC
rnacentral:rRNA from 1 species